GAGACUGUGUAUAUGGCAUGGUUUUUCAAAUGGUAGAUUGGGGGUUAGCUACCCUUGGUGUAUCUGAAUCUUUAAUAAGAUAGCUUUAUAGCUGUAUAGGGAGUUUGAGAUGACAGUACUGGAAAGUCAUGAUCUGUUGAAUAUUGUAGUGUGAAACCAGUGGGUGUGAAUGUGGCAAGUGUAAUGGUGUCACACUACAUUAUCAGAGUUACAAUUGAUCAGUGGCAUUGAGGUGUGAGUUUUCUUUCUUUAUUUUGAAAUUUAUAUUGGCGAUUACAAGAAUGAUGCACGGUCACGUGGUCACAGGUAGAAUACUCUCACGGUUACGCGCAAAGGUAGAGAUGACGUCAUUUCCGUGCGCCCUCUCUCUUUUGCCGAAUGCGAUAGCGAUGAGAGGCACGGCUAGACCAGAGAUUCGCCAUUUAUUAUCUGAUGGUGUCUGUUUCAAUACAGUGAUUGGAGAAUACAGAAGCUGGAAGUAAAUCAUACGACAAUUGUACCAACGUGUAGAGUCUUUUCAUUUAAAAACAUACACAACGCAGAGCGAACCCACUACACAGGCCCACUUUAACCCCAAAAGGUUCACCCAAAAUGGUGCCUGUAAAGGAAAACACAACACACACACACACCCACACACAUGCAAAGUGCCACACACCGUAAAUUCAUAAAAUUCACACAGCAUGCAGUGUAAACCGUAGCACAGAUUCCACCAUCAAAGGACCAACACCCACAAUCCAACCAGUGCUCCCAGAUGACCCACUGGAAAGGAACAGAUACACAAAAUCAGUUGGUUAUCAUACAGUAAAAUAUCUGCAAACAAUCCCCUAUAGUCUUUUUAACAAUCAGCUAAACACAGCAUCCAUACAACAUGAUGGGUGCCUUAAAUAAAGAAAACCAAACAAACAUUAAAUCACAAAACCCAAAAAUAAAGGGUAAAGAAGGACAGCAGUGACCAAAUGCAGUUCCUAAAAAAAACAAAAUAAAAAACAUUAGAACUGCAUAAUCACAU